UUGUCGAUAAUUUGAUACCAUUUAGUAUUUCUCUGUAGAUCUUGUAGCAUAAUUUGAACUAAACCAAAUUUAUGUUCCUAUUUCAGAUGAUACAGCUUGUAAAAGCCACAUAUAGAAUAUAUUGUACUUCAGCAUUUUGCUUUGCUGUAAGUUUUCUGCCUUUAUAAGGUGGUUGAUAAUACUUUGAUGUUUCAAACUUUUCUCCCUUCCUAAAUGUGUGCCAGCUGUGACAUGCAGAUAGUAAAAGAAGGUUCAUUUGUGAGAAACACUAAUGGAUCUGUCUUUUUCAGGUUUGUUCUCUACAUCUAGUAGCACCAAUGAAAGAAGAGGUUUAGGGCCUUCCAGGGAAUGCAGCAGGCAGAAGUGGGUGGCAAAAUAGAGGACCUACAAUAAAGAAAACAUGAGGUGCUGCCAUGAUAACAAAAAGCUCCAUUACUUUCUCAGACUUGGGCACACAAACAGGAUGCUGCAUGAGAACGGUGGAAUGGAUUCAAGGAAAAUUUUUCCUUCCCUCUCUUGUGGGGUUUCUGUUGUUUUGAAUCUGAUGACAGGAGAAGAGUUCCAAGUCAGCAAGAAGCAGAGGAAAGUGAGAAAUGCUUGGGAAAAUGGAAACGUUACUGAGGUUUUAGGCAAAGGAUACGAUCUAGGACAGCAGAAUGAAAGAUCUAUAACUAGCAAUUUGUACAAUUAUGAUUGUAUUAAAACUGAUUUUGUUACUCCCUAUAAGAAGGAUACAAAUCAAUUUAAUUACAGUACAGUCAGCAACUACUUCAACAAAAUGCUACUUAAUUUAUUUUUAAAGAAAACCUCUUGUAUAGGAAUUUUUUAGCAGUUUGCAAAGUUAUUUAUUUACUUAUUGGAUGAGAAGGUUUUGAACUCCCUAAGCAUUUAACCAGAAAACAUGAGUCCUCUGUAUUUCUUGGCUACCUCAUUCUCUUCCAGAUGCAUUAUAACCGUGGUGUGUCAGAAGACAGUGAUGGAUUAGUAGGAUAGUAGGAGAUGGAUGGUAGUUCAUAAAUAGAAGUAAAUGAGAUCUCUUUGAACAAACUGUGCAUUAAAUGCUAACGUGUGGUGAUCAUAUGCAUGUUUGCAGAUAACUAA